CAGUAGCCGCGGGAAUACGUAGGUCCCGAGCGUUGACCGGAUUUAUUGGGCGUAAAGCGAGCGCAGGCGGUUAGAUAAGUCUGAAGUUAAAGGCUGUGGCUUAACCAUAGUACGCUUUGGAAACUGUUUAACUUGAGUGCAAGAGGGGAGAGUGGAAUUCCAUGUGUAGCGGUGAAAUGCGUAGAUAUAUGGAGGAACACCGGUGGCGAAAGCGGCUCUCUGGCUUGUAACUGACGCUGAGGCUCGAAAGCGUGGGGAGCAAACAGGAUUAGAUACCCGCGUAGUCCCUGUCUCUUAUACA
rnacentral:rRNA from 1 species